rnacentral:rRNA from 1 species
ACGCGGUCAGGGCUUCGGCCCUGACUGAGUGGCGAACGAGUGAGUAACACGUGGGUGACCUACCUUCGAGUGGGGGAUAACGUCCCGAAAGGGACGCUAAUACCGCAUAACAUCCCACCUUUGAACAGGUGGAGAUCAAAGCUGGGGAUCGCAAGACCUGGCGCUUGAUGAGGGGCCCGCGUCCGAUUAGCUAGUUGGUGGGGUAAUGGCUCACCAAGGCAACGAUCGGUAGCCGGCCUGAGAGGGCGGACGGCCACACUGGGACUGAGACACGGCCCAGGCUCCUACGGGAGGCAGCAGUGGGGAAUUGUUCGCAAUGGGCGCAAGCCUGACGACGCAACGCCGCGUGGAGGAUGAAGGUCUUCGGAUUGUAAACUCCUGUUGCUCGGGACGAAAUGCUCCAACCUAAUACGUUGGAGUUUGACGGUACCGAGUGAGGAAGCCCCGGCUAACUCUGUGCCAGCAGCCGCGGUAAUACAGAGGGGGCAAGCGUUG